rnacentral:rRNA from 1 species
UACGGGGGGGGCAAGCGUUGUUCGGAAUUACUGGGCGUAAAGGGCUCGUAGGCGGCCAACUAAGUCGGGUGUGAAAUCCCCGGGCUCAACCUGGGAACUGCAUCCGAAACUGCCUUGCUAGAGUAUGGGAGAGGGAAGUGGAAUUUCCGGUGUAGCGGUGAAAUGCGCAGAUAUCGGGAGGAACACCGGUGGCGAAGGCGGUUCUCUGGGCCUUACCUGACGCUGAGGAGCGAAAGCGUGGGGAGCGAACAGG